GGUGCUAUAGUUCAGUGGUCAGAACACCUCGUUGUGGCUACUGUUUAAUUGUUAUGAACUCUUGUGAUUCCGAGGAAACGUGUGUUCGAUUCACACUAGCGCCA
rnacentral:tRNA from 1 species